AGUGAACGCUGGCGGUAGGCCUAACACAUGCAAGUCGAACGGCAGCACAGUAAGAGCUUGCUCUUACGGGUGGCGAGUGGCGGACGGGUGAGGAAUACAUCGGAAUCUACUUUUUCGUGGGGGAUAACGUAGGGAAACUUACGCUAAUACCGCAUACGACCUACGGGUGAAAGCAGGGGAUAUUCUGACCUUGCGCGAUUGAAUGAGCCGAUGUCGGAUUAGCUGGUUGGCGGGGUAAAGGCCCACCAAGGCGACGCUCCGUAGCUGGUCUGAGAGAAGGAUCAGCCACACUGGAACUGGGACACGGUCCAGAGUCCUACGGGAGGCAGCAGUGGGGAAUAUUGGACAAUGGGGGCAAGCCUGAUCCAGCCGGAGCGCGUGGGUGAAGAAGGCCUUCGGGUUGUAAAGACCUUUUGUUGGGAAAGAAAAGCAGCAGGUUAAUACCCCGCUGUUCUGACGGUACCCAAAGAAUAAGCACCGGCUAACUUCGUG
rnacentral:rRNA from 1 species